rnacentral:rRNA from 1 species
CAUAAACGACUCUCGGCAACGGAUAUCUCGGCUCACGCAUCGAUGAAGAACGUAGCAAAAUGCGAUACUUGGUGUGAAUUGCAGAAUYCCGUGAACCAUCGAGUUUUUGAACGCAAGUUGCGCCCGAAGCCUUUUGGCCGAGGGCACGUCUGCCUGGGCGUCACAC